UCAUUUAAAGAGUGCGUAAUAGCUCACUAGUCGAGUGACACUGCGCCGAAAAUGUACCGGGGCUAAACAUAUUACCGAAGCUGUGGAUUGUCCUUUGGACAAUGGUAGGAGAGCGUUCUAAGGGCGUUGAAGCAUGAUCGUAAGGACAUGUGGAGCGCUUAGAAGUGAGAAUGCCGGUGUGAGUAGCGAAAGACGGGUGAGAAUCCCGUCCACCGAUUGACUAAGGUUUCCAGAGGAAGGCUCGUCCGCUCUGGGUUAGUCGGGUCCUAAGCUGAGGCCGACAGGCGUAGGCGAUGGAUAACAGGUUGAUAUUCCUGUACCACCUAUAAUCGUUUUAAUCGAUGGGGGGACGCAGUAGGAUAGGCGAAGCGUGCGAUUGGAUUGCACGUCUAAGCAGUAAGGCUGAGUAUUAGGCAAAUCCGGUACUCGUUAAGGCUGAGC
rnacentral:rRNA from 1 species